CACGUAGGGGGCGAGCGUUGUCCGGAUUUAUUGGGCGUAAAGAGCUCGUAGGCGGCUCGGUAAGUCGGGUGUGAAAUUUCGAGGCUUAACCUCGAAACGCCACCCGAUACUGCUGUGGCUAGAGUCCGGUAGGGGAGCGUGGAAUUCCUGGUGUAGCGGUGAAAUGCGCAGAUAUCAGGAGGAACACCUAUAGCGAAGGCAGCUUGCUGGGACGUAACUGACGCUAAGGCGCGAAAGCGUGGGGAGCGAACAGG
rnacentral:rRNA from 1 species